rnacentral:rRNA from 1 species
UACGUAGGGUGCAAGCGUUAAUCGGAAUUACUGAGCGUAAAGCGUGCGCAGGCGGUUCGCUAAGACAGAUGUGAAAUCCCCCGGGCUUAACCUGGGAACUGCAUUUGUGACUGGCGGGCUAGAGUAUGGCAGAGGGGGGUAGGAAUUCCACGGUGUAGCAGUGAAAUGCGUAGAGAUGUGGAGGAAUACCGAUGGCGAAGGCAGCCCCCUGGGCCAAUACUGACGCUCAUGCACGAAAGCGUGGGGAGCAAACAGG